GUAGUCCACACCGUAAACGUUGGGCGCUAGGUGUGGGACACAUUCCACGUGUUCCGUGCCGCAGCUAACGCAUUAAGCGCCCCGCCUGGGGAGUACGGCCGCAAGGCUAAAACUCAAAGGAAUUGACGGGGGCCCGCACAAGCGGCGGAGCAUGCGGAUUAAUUCGAUGCAACGCGAAGAACCUUACCUGGGUUUGACAUACACCGGAAAGCCGUAGAGAUACGGCCCCUUUUAGUCGGUGUACAGGUGGUGCAUGGCUGUCGUCAGCUCGUGUCGUGAGAUGCUGGGUUAAGUCCCGCAACGAGCGCAACCCUCGUCCUAUGUUGCCAGCAAUUCGGUUGGGGACUCAUAGGAGACUGCCGGGGUCAACUCGGAGGAAGGUGGGGAUGACGUCAAGUCAUCAUGCCCCUUAUGUCCAGGGCUUCACGCAUGCUACAAUGGCCGGUACAAAGGGCUGCGAUCCCGUGAGGGUGAGCGAAUCCCAAAAAGCCGGUCUCAGUUCGGAUUGGGGUCUGCAACUCGACCCCAUGAAGUCGGAGUCGCUAGUAAUCGCAGAUCAGCAACGCUGCGGUGAAUA
rnacentral:rRNA from 1 species